rnacentral:misc_RNA from 1 species
GAUGAAGAACGUAGCGAAAUGCGAUAAGUAAUGUGAAUUGCAGAAUUCAGUGAAUCAUCGAAUCUUUGAACGCACCUUGCACCCUUUGGCAUUCUGAAGGGUAUGCUCGUUUGAGUGUCAUUGUACUCUCACACUCCCGAUCUUUGCAUUGGGAGCAGUGGACUUGGGUUUGCUGCUUCACCGUCGCUUACCUCAAAUAGGUUAGUGCAACUCUUGGUUGGACAUAGUACGGCGUGAUAAGUGUUCUUCGCCGGUGCCUCGCAAAGAGGGUGGCCGAUCGGGAUGUUGUGCUCCAAACCGUCUUCGGACAAUCUCUGACGACUUGACCUCAGAUCGAGUAAGACUACCCGCUGAACUUAAGCAUAUCAAUAAGCGGAGGA